GACAGAGGUGCCGAGCGUUAGGCGGAAUCACUGGGCUUAAAGCGUGUGUAGGCGGGUCGUUAAGUGUCUUGUGAAAUCCCACCGCUCAACGGUGGAACUGCUGGGCAUACUGGCGAUCUUGAGCCACCUAGGGGCAGACGGAACAAGCGGUGGAGCGGUGAAAUGCGUAGAUAUCGCUUGGAACGCCGACGGUGAAAACAGUCUGCUGGGGGUGUGGCUGACGCUGAGACACGAAAGCCAGGGGAGCGAACGGG
rnacentral:rRNA from 1 species